UGGGGAAUAUUGCACAAUGGGCGAAAGCCUGAUGCAGCGACGCCGCGUGAGGGAUGACGGCCUUCGGGUUGUAAACCUCUUUCAGCAGGGACGAAGCGCAAGUGACGGUACCUGCAGAAGAAGCACCGGCUAACUACGUGCCAGCAGCCGCGGUAAUACGUAGGGUGCAAGCGUUGUCCGGAAUUACUGGGCGUAAAGAGUUCGUAGGCGGUUUGUCGCGUCGUUUGUGAAAACCAGCAGCUCAGCUGCUGGCUUGCAGGCGAUACGGGCAGACUUGAGUACUGCAGGGGAGACUGGAAUUCCUGGUGUAGCGGUGAAAUGCGCAGAUAUCAGGAGGAACACCGGUGGCGAAGGCGGGUCUCUGGGCAGUAACUGACGCUGAGGAACGAAAGCGUGGGUAGCGAACAGG
rnacentral:rRNA from 2 species